ensembl:lncRNA
AACGCCUGUUGCUGGUGCAUCCUGAAGAAGCCUAGAGAGGAACAGAAGGUUCUGCAUAGGGAGAAGUGACCCAUUUACAGCUGGGUGCUAAAGGAAUCAGCGUUAACUAAACUGACACAUUUACAAUGGGAAAUGACAUCUGGCGAGUGUGCCUCCAACUCUGCUUUAUUACCAUUGUGUUCUCCAGAAGACGGGAAGGAAGAGCUCGGAUGAGAAUUACACCUGCACACUGACUGCCAGAGACAAGCUGCACAGCCAGCAUCACUGCACAAUUAACAUGAUGGAGAGGUUCACGCAGCACGACAGUUACAACAUCUUGCUACAAGGUGGUUUCUUUGGGAGGAAUCGCACAUACGUUGCUUUCCAGGAAUAUGAACCCAGUCUGAACAUUAAGUGUGAUCCCCCCUUCAACCUGCAGAGCAAUAUCAGUGCCAGUAAGUGCCAGCUCUGGUGGAGUGUGCCAGGGCCUCUAGAG